rnacentral:rRNA from 1 species
CCUGGCUCAGAUUGAACGCUGGCGGCAGGCCUAACACAUGCAAGUCGAGCGGUAACAGGUCCAGCUUGCUGGAUGCUGACGAGCGGCGGACGGGUGAGUAACGCAUAGGAAUCUACCCGGUAGUGGGGGAUAACCUGGGAAACCCAGGCUAAUACCGCAUACGUCCUACGGGAGAAAGGGGGCUUAGGCUCCCGCUAUUGGAUGAGCCUAUGCCGGAUUAGCUGGUUGGUGAGGUAAUGGCUCACCAAGGCGACGAUCCGUAGCUGGUCUGAGAGGAUGAUCAGCCACAUCGGGACUGAGACACGGCCCGAACUCCUACGGGAGGCAGCAGUGGGGAAUAUUGGACAAUGGGGGCAACCCUGAUCCAGCCAUGCCGCGUGUGUGAAGAAGGCCCUCGGGUUGUAAAGCACUUUCAGCGAGGAAGAACGCCUGUCGGUAANACCCGGCAGAAAGACAUCACUCGCAG